UACGGGGGGGGCAAGCGUUGUUCGGAAUUACUGGGCGUAAAGGGCUCGUAGGCGGCCAACUAAGUCAGACGUGAAAUCCCUCAGCUUAACUGGGGAACUGCGUCUGAUACUGGAAGGCUUGAAUCCGGGAGAGGGAUGUGGAAUUCCAGGUGUAGCGGUGAAAUGCGUAGAUAUCUGGAGGAACACCGGUGGCGAAGGCGACAUCCUGGACCGGUAUUGACGCUGAGGCGCGAAAGCCAGGGGAGCAAAGCGGG
rnacentral:rRNA from 1 species